rnacentral:rRNA from 1 species
CCUACGGGAGGCAGCAGUGGGGGAUCUUGCGCAAUGCGCGAAAGCGUGACGCAGCGACGCCGCGUGGGGGAUGAAGGCCUUCGGGUUGUAAACCCCUUUCGGCAGGGACGCGGUACCUGCAGAAGAAGUCCCGGCUAACUACGUGCCAGCAGCCGCGGUAACACGUAGGGGACGAGCGUUGUCCGGAUUCAUUGGGCGUAAAGCGCGCGUAGGCGGCUCGGAAAGUCGGGCGUGAAAUGCCGGGGCUCAACCCCGGGACUGCGUCCGAUACUUCCGAGCUGGAGGUAGGUAGGGGAGAUCGGAAUUCCUGGUGUAGCGGUGAAAUGCGCAGAUAUCAGGAGGAACACCGGUGGCGAAGGCGGAUCUCUGGGCCUUCCUGACGCUGAGGCGCGAAAGCUAGGGGAGCGAACAGGAUUAGAUACCCUUGUAGUC